UACGUAGGGCGCGAGCGUUGUCCGGAAUUAUUGGGCGUAAAGAGCUCGUAGGCGGCUGGUCGCGUCUGCCGUGAAAGGCCUGGGCUUAACUCGGGUUUUGCGGUGGAUACGGGCCGGCUAGAGGUAGGUAGGGGAGAACGGAAUUCCUGGUGUAGCGGUGAAAUGCGCAGAUAUCAGGAGGAACACCGGUGGCGAAGGCGGUUCUCUGGGCCUAUCCUGACGCUGAGGAGCGAAAGCGUGGGGAGCGAAC
rnacentral:rRNA from 1 species